GGGAGGCUUUGAAGUGUGGACGCCAGUCUGCAUGGAGCCGUCCUUGAAAUACCACCCUUUAAUGGCUGGUGUUCUAACGUAGACCCGUGAACCGGGUUGCGGACAGUGUCUGGUGGGUAGUUUGACUGGGGCGGUCUCCUCCUAAAGCGUAACGGAGGAGCACGAAGGUUGGCUAAUCCUGGUCGGACAUCAGGAGGUUAGUGCAAUGGCAUAAGCCAGCUUGACUGCGAGCGUGACGGCGCGAGCAGGUGCGAAAGCAGGUCAUAGUGAUCCGGUGGUUCUGAAUGGAAGGGCCAUCGCUCAACGGAUAAAAGGUACUCCGGGGAUAACAGGCUGAUACCGCCCAAGAGUUCAUAUCGACGGCGGUGUUUGGCACCUCGAUGUCGGCUCAUCACAUCCUGGGGCUGAAGUAGGUCCCAAGGGUAUGGCUGUUCGCCAUUUAAAGUGGUACGCGAGCUGGGUUUAGAACGUCGUGAGACAGUUCGGUCCCUAUCUGCCGUGGGCGCUGGAGAACUGAGGGGGGCUGCUCCUAGUACGAGAGGACCGGAGUGGACGCAUCACUGGUGUUCGGGUUGUCAUGCCAAUGGCACUGCCCGGUAGCUAAAUGCGGAAGAGAUAAGUGCUGAAAGCAUCUAAGCACGAAACUUGCCCCG
rnacentral:rRNA from 1 species